rnacentral:rRNA from 1 species
UGGGGAAUAUUGGACAAUGGGCGAAAGCCUGAUCCAGCCAUGCCGCGUGUGUGAAGAAGGUCUUCGGAUUGUAAAGCACUUUAAGUUGGGAGGAAGGGCAUUACCCUAAUACGUUAGUGUUUUGACGUUACCGACAGAAUAAGCACCGGCUAACUCUGUGCCAGCAGCCCCGGUAAUACAGAGGGUGCAAGCGUUAAUCGGAAUUACUGGGCGUAAAGCGCGCGUAGGUGGUUUGUUAAGUUGGAUGUGAAAUCCCCGGGCUCAACCUGGGAACUGCAUUCAAAACUGACUGACUAGAGUAUGGUAGAGGGUGGUGGAAUUUCCUGUGUAGCGGUGAAAUGCGUAGAUAUAGGAAGGAACACCAGUGGCGAAGGCGACCACCUGGACUAAUACUGACACUGAGGUGCGAAAGCGUGGGGAGCAAACA